AGUCUCAGUUCAGAUUGUAGGCUGCAACUCGCCUACAUGAAGUCGGAAUUGCUAGUAAUCGCGGAUCAGCAUGCCGCGGUGAAUACGUUCCCGGGCCUUGUACACACCGCCCGUCAAGCCAUGGGAGCCGGGGGCGCCUGAAGUCCGGGACCGCGAGGACCGGCCUAGGGCGAAACUGGUAACUGGGGCUAAGUCGUAACAAGGUACC
rnacentral:rRNA from 1 species